GAGGCGCUGCCACCCGUGAAUAUUGAGCUUGAAGAAGAAAUGGAAGAUGGACAAUGGAUUUAUGUUCCACUGCUAGAAGUUACACCCGUUACAGUAUCUGUUCCUGUGGUUCCUUCUCCUGGCCGUACAGAGUCUGUAGCUGGUCGAUUGCAUUUGGAUGAUGGGCAGGAGGUGCCAGAGCAGGUGAUACAUGUGCCACCGUCUGUUGAGGCUGAGGCGUCGAGCAAUGGAGAAGAUCUUCCUCGUCGGACAGCAAGAGAAACCGCAGGGAGACAUUCUAACCCUCAUCACUUGCCUAGGGCUGUGGGGAGUGGUGCAAAUGGGGCUGUGACAUCUGUCCUUGGUCAUAGUGAAAGGGUCACAGUUGUUUUCAGGCCCUGGGUGUAGUUCUAAGCAUCUUUCCGCCUUUAAGUGUGCCGACGGGACGUCGACACAGAGGGAGGGGGUGAAUUGUGACCGAGUGAUAAUGAUGGGGCGGGGUAUACGUGUUCCGUGUUGUCUAUAAAUAGCGUAAAGGCUGUCAGGGUGCGUCACUUCCUGCUGUGUUGACUGUUCUGUUUCUUCCGGUCGGUGUUUGUGAUCCUGAAGCGCCAUAGUGAGGUAGGAACACGAUAUUCGGAUUAACGCUGUAAGCAUCUGUAUAGAGACGUUUAGUCUUUAUGUAGUUUGUUGCAUUAAUUGCAGAACGGGAGCUGCUGUGCGAGCGCAUGAGCUGUUAAGUGCAAGGCACGGAUGUCAUAUUUCAGUGUUAUGAUCCUGAAGUAAGGAAGUUAGCUUCCAAUUUGAAAGAGCUUGUGGGCUGUGGCUAAGUGCAAACAACGAGCUGCAUUACAUAGCAUUUUGACUGACUUGAGUGGGACGCGAUUUAGGCGCAGAGCUUUCAUUCCACUUGCGGAUUACCGUAGAGAUUUUCCAUUGUGGAACUUUGUACACAUGGACCUCUGAUUCUUAGGCCCUGCUGUUUUGCUUAGGAUUAAAUUGUGUUAUUUGAGUUGAUUAUAUAUUGAUUGUUUUGGAAAUUACUAAUUCUAUUCAUUUAUUAUUAUACAUUGAUUGUUUUGGAAACCAAUCAUUUCAUUAAUUUAUUAUUUUGAUUUUGUUUUGUGUGUAUUGUACCAACCGCCAGAAUCUCACGCACUGUGACUCGGGGAGAAUUUAAUCAACUUU